rnacentral:rRNA from 1 species
CUUUCUUUGCUGGCGACCGGCGCACGGGUGAGUAACACGUAUCCAACCUGCCCUUUACUCGGGGAUAGCCUUUCGAAAGAAGAUUAAUACCCGAUGGCAUAAUGAUUCCGCAUGGUUUCAUUAUUAAAGGAUUCCGGUAAAGGAUGGGGAUGCGUUCCAUUAGGUUGUUGGUGAGGUAACGGCCCACCAAGCCUUCGAUGGAUAGGGGUUCUGAGAGGAAGGUCCCCCACAUUGGAACUGAGACACGGUCCAA